rnacentral:rRNA from 1 species
CAAUAGCGUAUAUUAAAGUUGUUGCAGUUAAAAAGCUCGUAGUUGGAUUUGUGGCGUACGGUGUGUUCCGGGCACUUGUUGUCUGAGUAACCUGCUGUUGCCAUCCUUGGGUGGAACCUGUGUGGCAUUAGGUUGUCGUGCAGGGGAUGCCCAUCAUUUACUGUGAAAAAAUUAGAGUGUUCAAAGCAGGCUUAUGCCGUUGAAUAUAUUAGCAUGGAAUAAUGAGAUAGGACUUUUUUGCUAUUUUGUUGGUUUGCGCAAAGAGGUAAUGAUUAAUAGGGACAGUUGGGGGUAUUCGUAUUCCAUUGUCAGAGGUGAAAUUCUUGGAUUUUUGGAAGACGAACUACUGCGAAAGCAUUGACCAAGGAUGUUUUCAUUGA